rnacentral:rRNA from 1 species
GACGAACGCUGGCGGCGUGCUUAACACAUGCAAGUCGAGCGGUAAGGCCCUUUCGGGGGUACGACGAGCGGCGAACGGGUGAGUAACACGUGGGUGACCUGCCCUCAGCUCUGGGAGUAAGCCUGGGAAACCGGGGUCUAAUACUGGAUAUGACUCCAUGACGCAUGUUGUGGGGUGGAAAGCCUUGUGCGGCUGAGGAUGGGCCCGCGGCCUAUCAGCUUGUUGGUGGGGUGAUGGCCUACCAAGGCGACGACGGGUAGCCGGCCUGAGAGGGCGACCGGCCACACUGGGACUGAGACACGGCCCAGACUCCUACGGGAGGGCAGCAGUGGGGAAUCUUGCGCAAUGGGCGAAAGCCUGACGCGGCGACGCCGCGUGAGGGAUGAC